GUCAAGCUACAAAGGGCGCAUGGUGAAUGCCUUGGCAUCAGGAGCCGAUGAAGGACGUGAUAAGCUGCGAUAAGCUUCGGGUAGGCGCACAUAGCCUGAGAUCCGAAGAUCUCCGAAUGAGGAAACUCACAUGGGAAACCCCAUGUAUCAUUAAGUGAAUACAUAGCUUAAUGAAGGUAACCCAGGGAACUGAAACAUCUAAGUACCUGGAGGAAGAGAAAGAAAAAUCGAUUUUCUUAGUAGCGGCGAGCGAAAGGGAAAGAGCCCAAACCGGAAACUUGUUUCCGGGGUUGUGGACAUAACAUAAAAGUGGAGGCUAUUGUAACUGAAGAGAACUGGAAAGUUCCACCGUAGAAGGUAAUAGUCCUGUAAGUGAAACGAGAAGACCACGAGUUAUGAUCCAGAGUACCACGAGACACGUGAAACCUUGUGGGAAGCAGGGAGGACCACCUCCCAAGGCUAAAUACUACCUGAUGACCGAUAGUGAAGCAGUACCGUGAGGGAAAGGUGAAAAGAACCCCGGGAGGGGAGUGAAAUAGAACCUGAAACCGUGUGCCUACAACCGCUCAGAGCCCCUUAUGAGGGUGAUGAGGUGCUUUUUGUAGAACGAGCCAACGAGUUACGGUAUGUAGCAAGGUUAAGUACUUAAGGUACGGAGCCGAAGGGAAACCGAGUCUGAAUAGGGCGACUAGUUGCAUGCCGUAGACCCGAAACCGGGUGACCUAUCCAUGGCCAGGUUGAAGCGAGGGUAAAACCUCGUGGAGGACCGAACCACGUUGCUGUUGAAAAAGCAUGGGAUGAGCUGUGGAUAGCGGAGAAAUUCCAAUCGAACCCGGAGAUAGCUGGUUCUCUCCGAAAUAGCUUUAGGGCUAGCGUCGAGUAUGAGUAGUGGAGGUAGAGCACUGAAUGGGCUAGGGGGCAUAGCGCUUACCGAACCUUAUCAAACUCCGAAUGCCACAUACUUUGAGCUCGGCAGUCAGACUACGAAUGAUAAGAUCCGUGGUCAAAAGGGAAACAGCCCAGAUCGUCAGCUAAGGUCCCAAAGUGUAAGUUAAGUGGGAAAGGAUGUGAGAUUUCUAAGACAACUAGGAUGUUGGCUUAGAAGCAGCCAUUCAUUAAAAGAGUGCGUAAUAGCUCACUAGUCGAGAGAUCUUGCGCCGAAAAUGUAACGGGGCUAAACUUACCACCGAAGCUACGGGCUUGAACUUAGUUCAAGCGGUAGGAGAGCGUCGUAACCGGGCUGAAGUCGUACCGUAAGGAGCGGUGGACUGGUUACGAGUGAGAAUGUUGGCAUCAGUAGCGAGAUGUGGGUGAGAAUCCCACAGGCCGAAAACCUAAGGUUUCCUCAGGAAGGUUCGUCCGCUGAGGGUUAGUCGGGACCUAAGCCGAGGCCGAAAGGCGUAGGUGAUGGACAACUGGUUGAUAUUCCAGUACCACUACCAUCGUUAUUAUCGAUGGCGUGACGCAGGAGGAUAGUGUGUGCUAGCUAUUGGAUGCUAGUCUAAGCGUUUAGGCAGUGAGAGUAGGCAAAUCCGCUCUCAUAAUGCUGAGGCGUGAUGGGGAAGGUUCUACGGAACCGAAGUACAUGAUUCCACGCUGCCAAGAAAAGCGUCUAGAGAGAGAAGUAGUGCCCGUACCGCAAACCGACACAGGUAGGUGAGGAGAGAAUCCUAAGGCCGGCGGAAGAAUUACAGUUAAGGAACUCGGCAAAUUGACCCCGUAAGUUCGCGAGAAGGGGUGCCUACGAGAGUAGGCCGCAGAGAAUAGGCCCAAGCAACUGUUUAGCAAAAACACAGGUCUCUGCUAAAGCGUAAGCUGAUGUAUAGGGGCUGACGCCUGCCCGGUGCUGGAAGGUUAAGGGGAACACUUAGCGCAAGCGAAGGUGUGAACUUAAGCCCCAGUAAACGGCGGCCGUAACUAUAACGGUCCUAAGGUAGCGAAAUUCCUUGUCAGGUAAGUUCUGACCCGCACGAAUGGCGUAAUGACUUGGGCACUGUCUCAACUGUAAAUCCGGCGAAGUUGUAGUGCGAGUGAAGAUGCUCGCUACCCGCGAUUGGACGGAAAGACCCCGUAGAGCUUUACUGUAGCUUAGCAUUGAGUUUUGGUAUUGUCUGUACAGGAUAGGUGGGAGACUAGGAAACCAGGGCGUCAGCCUUGGUGGAGUCAACCUUGGGAUACCACCCUGACAGUACUGAAAUUCUAACUGGCGGCCAUGAAUCUGGUCACAGGACAUUGUUAGGUGGGCAGUUUGACUGGGGCGGUCGCCUCCUAAAAAGUAACGGAGGCGCCCAAAGGUUCCCUCAGAACGGUCGGAAAUCGUUCGAAGAGUGCAAAGGCAGAAGGGAGCCUGACUGCGACACCCACAAGUGGAGCAGGGACGAAAGUCGGGCUUAGUGAUCCGGUGGUACCUCGUGGGAGGGCCAUCGCUCAACGGAUAAAAGCUACCUCGGGGAUAACAGGCUGAUCUCCCCCAAGAGUCCACAUCGACGGGGAGGUUUGGCACCUCGAUGUCGGCUCGUCGCAUCCUGGGGCUGAAGUAGGUCCCAAGGGUUGGGCUGUUCGCCCAUUAAAGCGGCACGCGAGCUGGGUUCAGAACGUCGUGAGACAGUUCGGUCCCUAUCCGUCGCGGGCGUAGGAAAUUUGAGAGGAGCUGUCCUUAGUACGAGAGGACCGGGAUGGACUGACCUCUGGUGUACCAGUUGUUCCGCCAGGAGCACAGCUGGGUAGCUAAGUCGGGAAUGGAUAAACGCUGAAAGCAUCUAAGCGUGAAGCCAACCUCAAGAUGAGAUUUCCCAUAGCGUAAGCUAGUAAGAUCCCUUGAAGAACACAAGGUUGAUAGGUCGGGGGUGUAAGCAUGGUAACAUGUUCAGCUGACCGAUACUAAUAGAUCGAGGGCUUGAC
rnacentral:rRNA from 1 species